ACCCAGGUUGUUCUCCACCCUGGCCGGGCCUAGAGGCCAACAGCCAACAGAAUUUCUAAAGCAGGACUAUGUUCUUCAGCAAAACACACUGCUCAGGUAAAAGAAACAGCUGUCAUCUUAUUAAUAGACUCCACCUGCGUGAGGUUAUGGGGAAAAGAAGAGAAAGGCCUUGUUCUCAUAACGCAAGCUAGGGCAGAUGAGUUUUUGUUAAGCAUCUGACCACGAAGAGCAGAAGUUAGAUCCCAAGAGAGAUGUUGGGCUCCUCUCCAAGGCAUUAGAGGCCUUAAGGUUUGAGUAGACACCCUGGUCACCUACGGAAAGCCAGUCCACUAACCUGGUCUUUCGGCAAAGCUUGAUUUUGUUCAAGUUUGCUCAGCCCAGGCCAGGGCUCACUGAUGUCACUCAAUGCUGACCCAUGAAAAGUGAGAGGAAGUCAGGUCCAGAAAAGCCUUUGUGACACUUAACAGGAAGCACGGGACAACACCCCACUUCCUCCCUGGCAUCAGCCUGUGAAGACAUGAGUUUUCAUCAGUCACCGUGGAACCAUGAGGGAACUAAAACAACACACUGAGGCGGACAGACAGAAAGAGGGGGAGCACUUCGCUCUUGGCAACCUGUACAGCUGUAGAUUCAGCCCCCAGACCCAGGGAAACGUGAGUUUCAUGCUACCUCCCUCAAAUCCGAGCAGGCUGAGAUGGCUUCAGCAAACAGAGCGUACAGCAGUGUCACAUCUACUGAGUGAACCCAAGGCUGUCAUGAAAGGGUCCUGCUCUUCAUCUGGCUCACUCUGAGGACUGCCUGACUGCACUAGCAAUCCAUUCACCUCCUGCUGUCUAUGAGAAAGGACACAGGAGGAUGCUCUGCAUGAGUGUGCUGCCUUCAUGGUGUGGCUGCAUCAAUCCUCAAGGACAAUACUGUGGACAUUUCACUGCAAUGCAGGGAAGGUGCCAGGCAAGAUCUGCCUAGACCAGCCUGUCUGAAAUUCUUGACCCCCAAAAUAAAAUCACUGUGUU
rnacentral:lncRNA from 1 species